GAUGAACGCUGGCGGCGUGCCUAAUACAUGCAAGUCGAGCGAAUGGAUUAAGAGCUUGCUCUUAUGAAGUUAGCGGCGGACGGGUGAGUAACACGUGGGUAACCUGCCCAUAAGACUGGGAUAACUCCGGGAAACCGGGGCUAAUACCGGAUAACAUUUUGAACCGCAUGGUUCGAAAUUGAAAGGCGGCUUCGGCUGUCACUUAUGGAUGGACCCGCGUCGCAUUAGCUAGUUGGUGAGGUAACGGCUCACCAAGGCAACGAUGCGUAGCCGACCUGAGAGGGUGAUCGGCCACACUGGGACUGAGACACGGCCCAGACUCCUACGGGAGGCAGCAAUAGGGAAUCUUCCGCAAUGGACGAAAGUCUGACGGAGCAACGCCGCGUGAGUGAUGAAGGCUUUCGGGUCGUAAAACUCUGUUGUUAGGGAAGAACAAGUGCUAGUUGAAUAAGCUGACACCUUGACGGUACUUAACCAGAAAGCCACGGCUAACUACGUGCCAGCCGCCGCGGUAA
rnacentral:rRNA from 1 species